GGUUUGGUCUGUGCUCGUCCACAAGAGAAGCAGGAAUGGUCCAGUUUUAGGAGAGGAAGAGAUCUCCAAUGGACGGUGCUUCGGUCUGUGCUUGGGCACGGGCCACUCAUCC